rnacentral:rRNA from 1 species
UACAGAGGGUGCAAGCGUUAAUCGGAAUUACUGGGCGUAAAGCGUGCGUAGUCGGUUAUUUAAGUCGGGUGUGAAAGCCCCGGGCUCAACCUGGGAAUUGCAUUCGAUACUGGAUAGCUAGAGUUCGGCAGAGGGAAGCGGAAUUUCCGGUGUAGCGGUGAAAUGCGUAGAUAUCGGAAGGAACAUCAGUGGCGAAAGCGGCUUCCUGGACCAGAACUGACGAUCAAGCACGAAAGCGUGGGGAGCAAACAGG